rnacentral:rRNA from 1 species
GUGGGGAAUAUUGGACAAUGGGGGGAACCCUGAUCCAGCCAUGCCGCGUGUGUGAAGAAGGCCUUUUGGUUGUAAAGCACUUUAAGCGAGGAGGAGGCUACCGAGAUUAAUACUCUUGGAUAGUGGACGUUACUCGCAGAAUAAGCACCGGCUAACUCUGUGCCAGCAGCCGCGGUAAUACAGAGGGUGCAAGCGUUAAUCGGAUUUACUGGGCGUAAAGCGCGCGUAAGUGGACAAUUAAGUCAAAUAUGAAAUCCUCGAGCUUAACUUGGGAAUUGCAUUCGAUACUGGUUGGCUAGAGUAUGGGAGAGGAUGGUAGAAUUCCAGGUGUAGCGGUGAAAUGCGUAGAGAUCUGGAGGAAUACCGAUGGCGAAGGCAGCCAUCUGGCCUAAUACUGACACUGAGGUGCGAAAGCAUGGGGAGCAAACAGGAUUAGAUACCCUGGUAGUCC